AUGAGGAUCAAGAACUUCAAGUUCUAAUUUAAUCAAGGAGCUUCGGGUCUUGGUAUAUACUCAUCACAACAAAAUGUAGUACAAUAGGUAUAUUAUAGUAAAGGGCGGUUAUUCCAUCCACCGUAGAUAAAUUGCUUUUAAUAAGUAAUGAUUGUGACAAGGGCUUUAGUACAACACCAUUCACAUAAUAUCAAAACUUAAAGAUAAUGACUAU
rnacentral:lncRNA from 1 species